AAACGACCGCUGUGGGGAGAGCGGUUAAGGUGUGUGAAGCUCUGUUUUGCCCAAAAGACUGAAAUUGAACAUUGAGAGAAAGAGAGAAGAAAGAAGAACAUGAAUAAAGGAGCUUGAAAUUCUUCGCAGUUUGAUAAGGGGAAGAAGGUAGAUAUCUGAGAGAAAAGGAAGAGGGGGACGAGAAGUCAAAAUCGCUGCUUCGAAGUACUCACUACACCAAAAAAGAAACAGACGACGGGUUUUUUUCGUUGUGUGAUUUGGAGGCUCACCGUUGUGUAUCGGAGCGUUGUCUGAUUAAAUUUUGCACAACGGUGGUGCACCGUUGUAUGAUAUACAAACACACGACAUAUUUUUGUUAUCAGCGUUGUGUCAUCUCUCGACAGAUGCCAAGCAUAGCUGCCACGCAACAUGGCGUGCAUCUUUCAUACAACAGAAUUUGUUCCAAGCUGUUGUUGGAAACCCUUGUCAGACAAUAUUUUUUUCAUUUCACCGUCGUCUGAUAUGCCGUCACACUUCAGUUGUACACUAUGGUUGUUGUGUGAAUUGGUCUUGGACAACAUAAUUAAGUUA